rnacentral:rRNA from 1 species
CAGUAGCCGCGGGAAUACAGAGGGUGCGAGCGUUAAUCGGAUUUACUGGGCGUAAAGCGUGCGUAGGCGGCUUCUUAAGUCGGAUGUGAAAUCCCUGAGCUUAACUUAGGAAUUGCAUUCGAUACUUGGAAGCUAGAGUAUGGGAGAGGAUGGUAGAAUUCCAGGUGUAGCGGUGAAAUGCGUAGAGAUCUGGAGGAAUACCGAUGGCGAAGGCAGCCAUCUGGCCUAAUACUGACGCUGAGGUACGAAAGCAUGGGGAGCAAACAGGAUUAGAUACCCGGGUAGUCCCUGUCUCUUAUAA